UACGUAGGGUGGCGAGCGUUAAUCGGAAUUACUGGGCGUGAAAGCGUGACGCAGGCGGUUCGUUGUGUCGGCGGUGAAAGCCCCGGGCUUAACCUGGGAACGGCCGUUGAAACUGGCGAACUGGAGUGUGGCAGAGGGGGUGGAAUUCCGCGUGUAGCAGUGAAAUGCGUAGAGAUGUGGAGGAAUACCGAUGGCGAAGGCAGCCCCCUGGGUCAAUACUGACGCUCAUGCACGAAAGCGUGGGGAGCAAACAGG
rnacentral:rRNA from 1 species